GAAAAAGAAGGCACUGAUUUAUCACAGUCUGAGAAAGGCUGCCGGAAAUUCAAUUAAGCACUGGAAAAAAAUGAUAUGGAGGACCCACACAAAAGUGAGUCUCAUUGCUCUCAAGGCAGUGUGCAGAAGUGAUCAGUCUCUGGAGAUCGUAAGACGUUGUACCGGGAGCUUAUACUUCAUGACCGUUGAUGCUGAAGUAAGGAGAAUUCGCAUCAUCACGACUCAGAAGGCAAAAUGGAAAGUACAAUCCCUUUCUUCUGCAAAAAUGAAAUGUUUCUUGCAGCUGGUGAGUCUAAGGUACUCUGUUACUGCAACAGAAAAUGGAUUAAAAUGAUAUCCUGUCAGAAAAAAACAAAUAAAAGUGAGUACACUCCAGCAGAAAUAUUACACAAAGAUAUGGU
rnacentral:lncRNA from 1 species